rnacentral:rRNA from 1 species
AACGCUGGCGGCGCGCCUAACACAUGCAAGUCGAACCCUUUUGUGUUGAAAGCUUGCUGGAUAUACAACUUAGUGGCGGACGGGUGAGUAACACGUGAGUAACCUGCCUCUCAGAGUGGAAUAACGUUUGGAAACGAACGCUAAUACCGCAUAACGUGAGAAGAGGGCAUCCUCUUUUUACCAAAGAUUUAUCGCUGAGAGAUGGGCUCGCGGCCGAUUAGGUAGUUGGUGAGAUAACAGCCCACCAAGCCGACGAUCGGUAGCCGGACUGAGAGGUUGAUCGGCCACAUUGGGACUGAGACACGGCCCAGACUCCUACGGGAGGCAGCAGUGGGGGAUAUUGCACAAUGGGGGAAACCCUGAUGCAGCGACGCCGCGUGAGGGAAGACGGUUUUCGGAUUGUAAACCUCUGUCUUUAGGGACGAAAAAAUGACGGUACCUAAGGAGGAAGCCACGGCUAACUACGUGCCAGCAGCCGCGGUAAUACGUAGGUGGCAAGCGUUGUCCGGAAUUACUGGGUGUAAAGGGAGCGUAGGCGGGGAGACAAGUUGAAUGUCUAAACUAUCGGCUUAACUGAUAGUCGCGUUCAAAACUAUCACUCUUGAGUGCAGUAGAGGUGGCGGAAUUCCUAGUGUAGCGGUGAAAUGCGUAGAUAUUAGGAGGAACACCAGUGGCGAAGGCGGCCUACUGGGCUGUAACUGACGCUGAGGCUCGAAAGCGUGGGUAGCAAACAGGAUUAGAUACCCUGGUAGUCCACGCCGUAAACGAUGAUUACUAGGUGUGGGGGGACUGACCCCUUCCGUGCCGGAGUUAACACAAUAAGUAAUCCACCUGGGGAGUACGACCGCAAGGUUGAAACUCAAAGGAAUUGACGGGGGCCCGCACAAGCAGUGGAGUAUGUGGUUUAAUUCGAAGCAACGCGAAGAACCUUACCAGGUCUUGACAUCGAGCGACGAACCAAGAGAUUGGUUCUUCCUUCGGGACGCGAAGACAGGUGGUGCAUGGUUGUCGUCAGCUCGUGUCGUGAGAUGUUGGGUUAAGUCCCGCAACGAGCGCAACCCUUAUCAUUAGUUGCUACGCAAGAGCACUCUAAUGAGACUGCCGUUGAUAAAACGGAGGAAGGUGGGGAUGACGUCAAAUCAUCAUGCCCCUUAUGACCUGGGCUACACACGUACUACAAUGGUGAUCAAACAGAGGGAAGCAACACAGCGAUGUGAAGCAAAUCCCGAAAAAUCAUCUCAGUUCAGAUUGCAGGCUGCAACUCGCCUGCAUGAAGUCGGAAUUGCUAGUAAUCGCGGAUCAGCAUGCCGCGGUGAAUACGUUCCCGGGCCUUGUACACACCGCC